ensembl:lncRNA
UGAAGAGUGUGAUGGUAGGUUAGAAAACUAUUCUUUUUAUUCCUCCAUUAAAACUGAGUUUUGACACUUGUGACAACUUAAGAAUGAGGUUUUUUUUUCUUUUCUCUGAGUUAAGAAGUAAAUGUGUUUUUGAUCAGUACAGGUAUCUUCUGUAGAACUUCCCACCUUGCUGAAGGGGUUAUGUUCUGUCAGAAAAGUGAUUGCUGUUCAUCAGUUAGUAAAAAUAACUAUACUGGCAUGAGUGGAGCCCAGCAGUCUGUCCUUUCUGUGUAUGUGUAUAGCUUAAGGACAAAUGGAGCUGGAUUUGCUUCAUGUAAAGCGUAACUGUAGGUCUUUGUCUGCUGGAGCCAUGGAAGACCAAGGGAGGUGCUGUUUCUCAGUGUGUGGCUGCUCUAAAGAGGGGCUUCCAGAAAGCUUGUAUGCUGUGGAACUGGUCCCUGCUAACAGAGGAGUUACUCCAGCCUUCCUGUGAUGAAGUGGUUUUCUUGGUGAAACAGACAAUUUUGGAGGAAAGUGGUAACAGCGCUGUUGCUAAUCAGGAAGUUCUUGCUUGGAUCCCCGCUGCAUCUUUUGCCUCUCAGGAGGAGAAUUCACAUGGACAAACCUAACUUCUUAUGGAAGAAAUUGAGUGGUCCUUCCAAGACUCAAGUUACAUACCUCAGAAUGAUGCAUACAGAGCUAAGCUAAGCUGCUUGUGAGAUCUGGAGAUCUGCAACUUGUGUCUAUACCAGACCUAGAGAUCUCAG